UACAGGGGGGGCAAGCGUUGUUCGGAAUCACUGGGCGUAAAGGGCUCGUAGGUGGCCAACUAAGUCGGACGUGAAAUCCCUCAGCUUAACUGGGGAACUGCGUCCGAUACUGGAUGGCUUGAGUUUGGGAGAGGGAUGCGGAAUUCCAGGUGUAGCGGUGAAAUGCGUAGAUAUCUGGAGGAACACCGGUGGCGAAGGCGGCAUCCUGGACCAACACUGACACUGAGGAGCGAAAGCCAGGGGAGCAAACGGG
rnacentral:rRNA from 1 species